CACAUCUAACAGCACACAUUUUGCUUCAGAAGCAAAACUAAGUUUGAAAAAAAAAAUCAGUUUUACAGGUGUUAAGUAUAAAUUUAAAUAUAGGUAAGACCAGUAAUGGCUAAAAUCAUUAAAGUAAUGCAGAAGAGCUCUGGUUGGAUGCAGUUGAAAUGCCUUCUGAGUUAGAGCGACUCCUGUAACCCCCCACCUUCUCCUGUAACUCUCAUUUCUGACUCUAAGAUAGUUUUCCUUACAGUGUCUCCUCUGGGCAGGCAACGUGGCCCUUCCUUUGAGAUGCACUACUGAAGGCCCUCUCAGGAGUGUCAAUGCAGCCCUCUCAGAGACACACAUUAAAUACAUGCCCACCUCUCUCUGCCGAUGGACAAACAGUAUUUACCCCGUGAUCCGGCACCGAGUUCUCCUUAUCCAGAUGUACUGAUGCCCCUUUUGCGUGCUCAGAUCCAAAACACCGAGAUAAAUUAUGAUGGGUUCUUGGCUUCCUCCACUGAAAAUGUUUUCAGCUGUCAGAGCCUCAGACUCUGCGAUCCAGCCUUGUCAUCGUCCUGAUUCACAGGGCAGGAAUCCUCUGCACUGACUGGAACAGGAACGCUGAGACAGCUGACAAAUGAGCCCAAACAUUCCGUGUGUGCCAGAAAGCCGGAGCAGUUCACAUGGAGCAGGGCUGGGUGAUUCUUUCCCGUUGUGAACCAUCUGUAUGUUAUAUGAGUAACAGCAAAGGGGGAACAGUCCUGCAGCCCAGUGGCUCCAAGCACUGGAUUAUUAAGUGAUUUUACCCAGUUAAAGGGAUGAAUGCUUUAAACAAAACCGUGCUAAAUGAAACUCGAGGACUAUUAGUUCACACCAAGUUUCUGUACAUGCAAUUAAGAUGUCAUGCACGGGCUGUAUUUCAGCAGUCAUUAAUAAUGUAAGCAUAAACCAUUAAAUACAGUACAAGGAUCUUGGACUGGGUAUGACAAUGCUGAAUGCAGACUGAGUUUAGAAAAUGGUAUUUGAGAUCCUGAAGAAUUCCAAGUAAUUAUGUCAUGAAACUAGAUGCCCUGUUUUAAAAUCACUGUUCAGAAAUACAUUCCACUCUCCAUUCCCUGAUGCUUGGCUCACAGUUAGAAACCUGUUAUAAUCUCAUUCCCAUAUUUUGU